GGAGCUGUCAAUGAAAAGCUGUCAAGUCACCCAAGCAGCAUAUUUUUGGAGUUGUCAUUUAGAAGUCGACUGAAUCGGAAAUAUUUGCUAAGGCGGAUCCUAACAGCUUGCUUAUGCCUGUGCCUGCCACAACAGCCACAACGGCAACGGAUGAUGAAGGUUGGACGACCGGCGGCGGCAUGGGCGAUGAAGAGCGUAUGCGCUACAUUGAGAUGAAAAAGGCAGAGCUCAGCUACAGGGAGCUGGCCGUGGAGGUCAAGGCGCUUGAGGUGACAAAGGCAGAGCUGGAACUCGAACGUAUGCGUGUGUUGCAUGAACUUCGAGUCCAGCUGAUGGAAAUAGAGAUAAGCAUUCUAAUGAGGCAGGAGGAUCAAUUACAAUGAAAACGCAGCACAUAAAAUUAUUUUCAACGACGUGUACGUGCCAUUGUAACUUGAAAGAGAACGAAAUAAAUCUAAAAAUUGCCUUGCCCAAUA